UGAGUCUCCACAGCAUUCUCGAGUUCUGUCGAUGGAUAAACCCCCACCAUCGUCGACCAGAUUCUUCACGACAGACGGACUCCUACGGGAGCCAGACUUCGCCGACUCUGACUGCAGGAAGACUUCAUCCGGACUCCUACGGGAGCCGGACUUCACCGACUCCAACUACAGGAAGACUUCGUUCGGACUCCUACAGGAGCUGGACUUCAUCCCCGACCUCAAUUGCAGGUAGACUUCGCCCGGAC
rnacentral:lncRNA from 1 species